rnacentral:rRNA from 1 species
UAGGGAAUCUUCCACAAUGGACGCAAGUCUGAUGGAGCAACGCCGCGUGAGUGAAGAAGGUCUUCGGAUCGUAAAGCUCUGUUGUUGGUGAAGAAGGAUAGAGGCAGUAACUGGUCUUUAUUUGACGGUAAUCAACCAGAAAGUCACGGCUAACUACGUGCCAGCAGCCGCGGUAAUACGUAGGUGGCAAGCGUUGUCCGGAUUUAUUGGGCGUAAAGCGAGCGCAGGCGGAAUGAUAAGUCUGAUGUGAAAGCCCACGGCUCAACCGUGGAACUGCAUCGGAAACUGUCAUUCUUGAGUGCAGAAGAGGAGAGUGGAACUCCAUGUGUAGCGGUGGAAUGCGUAGAUAUAUGGAAGAACACCAGUGGCGAAGGCGGCUCUCUGGUCUGCAACUGACGCUGAGGCUCGAAAGCAUGGGUAGCGAACAGGAUUAGAUACCCUGGUA